UACGGGGGGAGCAAGCGUUGUUCGGAUUUACUGGGCGUAAAGGGCGCGUAGGCGGCCAGCGCAAGUCAGUUGUGAAAUCUCCGGGCUUAACUCGGAAAGGUCAACUGAUACUGCGCGGCUAGAGUGCAGAAGGGGCAACUGGAAUUCUCGGUGUAGCGGUGAAAUGCGUAGAUAUCGAGAGGAACACCUGCGGCGAAGGCGGGUUGCUGGGCCGACACUGACGCUGAUGCGCGAAAGCCAGGGGAGCGAACGGG
rnacentral:rRNA from 1 species